UACUAGAGUAGCACUUGCAUAUCAAUAAGCGGAGGAAAAGAAACUAACAAGGAUUCCCCUAGUAACGGCGAGUGAAGCGGGAAGAGCUCAAAUUUGAAAUCUUAAAGGGUUUCCCUUUACGAAUUGUAGUUUAAAGAAGUGUUUUCUGUUGAGGUUUUGGUAAAAGUUCUUUGGAAUAGGACAUCAUAGAGGGUGAGAAUCCCGUAUUUGACCUUUACUUUCAACUUUGUGAUACACUUUCAAAGAGUCGGAUUGUUUGGGAAUGCAGUCCAAAAUGGGUGGUAAAUUUCAUCUAAAGCUAAAUAUUGGCGAGAGACCGAUAGCGAACAAGUACCGUGAGGGAAAGAUGAAAAGAACUUUGAAAAGAGAGUUAAACAGUACGUGAAAUUGUCAAAAGGGAAGCGUUUGACACCAGUGUUGUUUUUCUGAAAAUCAAUUAAAGAACUGUUUAUGCUAAGCUGUUUAGACUUUAUCAGCUAUCUGUUUAGUUUUGAGCUUUUCUUUAAUGCACUUUUCAGUUAACAAGUCAACAUCAAUUUCUUUUGCUGUAAAAAAGCUUGAGGAAGGUGGCUUGAGAUUCGUCUUAAGUGUUUAUAGCCUCUUGCCUAUGCAGUCGGAGAGAUUGAGGUCUGCAGCGUAGAUCCUUCGGGGCUAAAUGCAUUUGUGCUAAGUUAUAGCAUUUUAUAGACAACUUGUUGACUAUGAUUUGUCUUGUAGCUUACUCGCUUAUGUUAUUUUACCUACGCUUAGGAUGUUGAGCGCAUGUCUCUCUCU
rnacentral:rRNA from 1 species